UCUGACAGAAUCAACACUGCACCCUGC
rnacentral:piRNA from 1 species